AAGUCGUAACAAGGUUUCCGUAGGUGAACCUGCGGAAGGAUCAUUAACAUUUUCCAAAAACCUUUUUUCAACCCCAAACCAUAUGUUGUUUUUUUUUAUCUUACCCCCCCAAUCAUAAUUAUGGUCAAUCAUAAUUAUGGCAACUCGUUUUUAUUUUUACCCCAAACCCCAACCAAACCAAUAUUUUGAACAGUAUAAAAAAACAAACGGAAGUUUGGAGAAAUCCUUACAACCGUGUUUUAUUUGAAAAAAAAGAUAAAACAAAACAAAAGUACAACUCUAAGCGAUGGAUGUCUCGGCUCUU
rnacentral:misc_RNA from 1 species